UACGUAGGGUGCGAGCGUUAAUCGGAAUUACUGGGCGUAAAGCGUGCGCAGGCGGUUUUGUAAGCCAGAUGUGAAAUCCCCGGGCUUAACCUGGGAAUGGCAUUUGGGACUGCAAGGCUGGAGUGUGGCAGAGGAGACUGGAAUUCCUGGUGUAGCAGUGAAAUGCGUAGAUAUCAGGAGGAACACCGAUGGCGAAGGCAGGUCUCUGGGCUGACACUGACGCUCAUGCACGAAAGCGUGGGGAGCAAACAGG
rnacentral:rRNA from 1 species